rnacentral:rRNA from 1 species
GACGAACGCUGGCGGCGUGCUUAACACAUGCAAGUCGAACGAGACGAUUGAAAGCUUGCUUUCGAAAGUCGAGUGGCAAACGGGUGAGUAACGCGUAGACAACCUGCCUUUGAGAUGGGGACAACAGUUCGAAAGGACUGCUAAUACCGAAUGUUGUAUAUUUUCCACAUGGAAGAUAUAUUAAAGAUGGCCUCUAUUUAUAAGCUAUCGCUCAAGAUGGGUCUGCGUCUGAUUAGCUAGUUGGUGGGGUAACGGCCUACCAAGGCGACGAUCAGGAGCCGGUCUGAGAGGAUGAACGGCCACAUUGGGACUGGGACACGGCCCAGACUCCUACGGGAGGCAGCAGUGGGGAAUCUUCCACAAUGGACGAAAGUCUGAUGGAGCAACGCCGCGUGAGUGAAGAAGGGUUUCGGCUCGUAAAGCUCUGUUGUCGGGGACGAAUGUGCAGUAUUUGAAUAAAGUACUGUAAUGACGGUACCUGACGAGGAAGCCACGGCUAACUACGUGCCAGCCGCCGCGGUAA